UACGUAGGGUGCAAGCGUUGUCCGGAAUUAUUGGGCGUAAAGAGCUCGUAGGCGGUUUGUCGCGUCUGCUGUGAAAACUCGGGGCUUAACCCCGGGCCUGCAGUGGGUACGGGCAGACUAGAGUGCGGUAGGGGAGACUGGAAUUCCUGGUGUAGCGGUGGAAUGCGCAGAUAUCAGGAGGAACACCGGUGGCGAAGGCGGUUCUCUGGGCAUGACCUGACGCUGAGGAGCGAAAGCAUGGGGAGCGAACAGG
rnacentral:rRNA from 1 species